rnacentral:rRNA from 1 species
AUUGAACGCUGGCGGCAUGCUUUACACAUGCAAGUCGAACGGUAACAGGCCGCAAGGUGCUGACGAGUGGCGAACGGGUGAGUAAUGCAUCGGAACGUGCCCAGUCGUGGGGGAUAACGCAGCGAAAGCUGCGCUAAUACCGCAUACGAUCUAUGGAUGAAAGCGGGGGACCGUACGGCCUCGCGCGAUUGGAGCGGCCGAUGUCAGAUUAGGUAGUUGGUGGGGUAAAGGCUCACCAAGCCAACGAUCUGUAGCUGGUCUGAGAGGACGACCAGCCACACUGGGACUGAGACACGGCCCAGACUCCUACGGGAGGCAGCAGUGGGGAAUUUUGGACAAUGGGCGCAAGCCUGAUCCAGCAAUGCCGCGUGCAGGAAGAAGGCCUUCGGGUUGUAAACUGCUUUUGUACGGAACGAAACGGCUCUGGUUAAUACCUGGGGCUAAUGACGGUACCGUAAGAAUAAGCACCGGCUAACUACGUGCCAGCCGCCGCGGUAAUAC